AGAGUUUGAUCAUGGCUCAGAACGAACGUUGGCGGCGUGGAUUAGGCAUGCAAGUCGAACGAAGACGGCUUUGUAGCAAUACCGAGCCGGACUGAGUGGCGAAAGGGGCAGUAAGGCGUGGGUAACCUACCCUGGGAAUCGGGAUAGCCAUUCUAACGAGUGGGUAAUACCGGGCGAUUUCACGAAAGCGCAUGUUUUUGUGAAGAAAGGUCAGCCGUCUCGGGAGGGGCCCACGUGGUAUUAGCUAGUUGGUGGGGUAACGGCCCACCAAGGCAAAGAUGCCUAGCGGGUGUGAGAGCACGACCCGCGCCACUGGCACUGAGACACUGGCCAGACACCUACGGGUGGCUGCAGUCGAGGAUCUUCGGCAAUGGGCGCAAGCCUGACCGAGCGACGCCGCGUGUGCGAUGAAGGCCUUCGGGUUGUAAAGCACUGUCGAGGGACCGAAAGCCGCAAGGUUGAUUGGUCCCUGGAGGAAGGACGGGCUAAGUUCGUGCCAGCAGCCGCGGUAAGACGAACCGUCCAAACGUUGUUCGGAAUCACUGGGCUUAAAGGGCGCGUAGGCGGGCGAGUUAGUCCGGGGUGAAAUCUUUCGGCUCAACCGGAAAAGGGCCUCGGAAACGGCUUGUCUGGAGGAAGGUAGGGGCAGGUGGAACUUCCGGUGGAGCGGAAAUGCGUUGAUAUCGGAAGGAACGCCGGUGGCGAAAGCGACCUGCUGGACCUUUACUGACGCUGAGGCGCGAAAGCCAGGGUAGCGAACGGGAUUAGAUACCCUAGUAGUCC
rnacentral:rRNA from 1 species